rnacentral:misc_RNA from 1 species
GAUGAAGAACGUAGUGAAAUGCGAUACUUGGUGUGAAUUGCAGAAUCCCGUGAACCAUCGAGUCUUUGAACGCAAGUUGCGCCCGAAGCCAUCAGGUUGAGGGCACGUCUGCCUGGGCGUCACAUAUCGUUGCCCAAUGCCUAUUGCAGUGCAAUAGGAAUUUCUAGGGCGAAUGAUGGCUUCCCGUGAGCGUUGUUGCCUCGCGGUUGGUUGAAAAUCGAGUCCUUGGUAGGGUGUGCCAUGGUAGAUGGUGGUCGAGUUAAAACGAUACCGAUCAUGUGCAUGCUCCCCAAAAUAUGGCCUCUAUGACCCACACGCGUCUUUUGACGCUCAUGACGAGACCUCAGGUCAGGCGGGGCUACCCGCUGAAUUUAAGCAUAUCAAUAAGCGGAGGA